rfam:Coprococcus catus GD/7 draft genome.
AAGAUUCGUCGGCAAAUCAGUCGAAAGGCUGAGACGCAAAGCUAUAGGGUCUGUAAAAUGACAGCAAAUGCAUUU